rnacentral:rRNA from 1 species
GAUGAACGCUGGCGGCGUGCCUAAUACAUGCAAGUCGAGCGAACGGACGAGAAGCUUGCUUCUCUGAUGUUAGCGGCGGACGGGUGAGUAACACGUGGAUAACCUACCUAUAAGACUGGGAUAACUUCGGGAAACCGGAGCUAAUACCGGAUAAUAUUUUGAACCGCAUGGUUCAAAAGUGAAAGACGGUCUUGCUGUCACUUAUAGAUGGAUCCGCGCUGCAUUAGCUAGUUGGUAAGGUAACGGCUUACCAAGGCAACGAUGCAUAGCCGACCUGAGAGGGUGAUCGGCCACACUGGAACUGAGACACGGUCCAGACUCCUACGGGAGGCAGCAGUAGGGAAUCUUCCGCAAUGGGCGAAAGCCUGACGGAGCAACGCCGCGUGAGUGAUGAAGGUCUUCGGAUCGUAAAACUCUGUUAUUAGGGAAGAACAUAUGUGUAAGUAACUGUGCACAUCUGGACGGUACCUAAUCAGAAAACCACGGCUAACUACGU